AAGUUUCGUCCAAAAAUGAAGCAGGUCAAAAUUCGAUUGCAUAAUUAAUUGGCAUAGGCAUAUUUCAUUAUUUUCAUUGUUAACUAUCUAUUAGAGUGUUCAAAAAAUAUGUAAGAGGGCAGGUUGAUUAGUCUUUUCCACCUUUAAAAGAUGUAAAAAGUGAAGAAAUACCAUUAGACCUAUAUUAAACAUUAACAAAAAUAAAAAAUAGAGAUAUUACAUUCUGUGUAUAACGUUUUAACUAUUGUCAUGCCAUGCAGAUAGUUCGAGCUCUUGAAGG
rnacentral:misc_RNA from 1 species